rnacentral:lncRNA from 1 species
CCAUGUCCUCCAUUACUUUGCUCUCCUUUAGAAAGUAGGAAGGCAUUAAUUACGCUGUGCAGGCUCUUGUGCAGCUUUUAGUCCUCAUUACUAACCUGACGUUCCCAGCAGUGUGAAACUUUUCCAUCAGGAACUUCAGGAAGGCUCGCCCCAUCGUCUCUGCAAAACCGUUCCCAGGUGAAUCAAGCCUCAGCAUACCCAGGAUUCCACUGAAUGCCCUGACCUGCGGGAAGAUGUCAAGCAGCUAUGGGACAGGAGGCAUUUUUCUUCUCCUCAUUUGGCCAGUUCUCUGGAGCCACAGAGGAACAGCACCGAGGACAUCGAACUGUCUUCCUCCCCAUGAGACCCCCCGGGAGAAGGAGACACUCUAG